GACGAACGCUGGCGGCAUGCCUAACACAUGCAAGUCGAGCGAGCAGAUCCCUUCGGGGUGAAGCUAGCGGCGGACGGGUGAGUAACACGUGGGCAACCUGCCUCAUAGAGGGGAAUAGCCUUCCGAAAGGAAGAUUAAUACCGCAUAAGAUUGUGGCUUCGCAUGAAGCAGCAAUUAAAGGAGCAAUCCGCUAUGAGAUGGGCCCGCGGCGCAUUAGCUAGUUGGUGAGGUAACGGCUCACCAAGGCGACGAUGCGUAGCCGACCUGGGAGGGUGAUCGGCCACAUUGGGACUGAGACACGGCCCAGACUCCUACGGGAGGCAGCAGUGGGGAAUAUUGCACAAGGGGGGGAACCCUGAUGCAGCAAUGCCGCGUGAGUGAUGACGGCCUUCGGGUUGUAAAGCUCUGUCUUCGGGGACGAUAAUGACGGUAACACAUGAAUAAGGACCGGCCAACUACGUGCCAGCAGCCGCGGUAA
rnacentral:rRNA from 1 species